UCUUAUCAAGAGUAGGUGUAGGGACGAGCCCGAUGACACCCGGCAACCGGCAACCUUUUGCAAAGAAGGACGCACGGUGCUAAUUCUUGCAGAACGCGCGAACCGCGGAUCUGAGAGAUGAGA
rnacentral:ncRNA from 1 species